rnacentral:rRNA from 1 species
UACGAAGGGGGCUAGCGUUGUUCGGAAUUACUGGGCGUAAAGCGCACGUAGGCGGAUUAGUAAGUCAGGGGUUAAAUCCCGGGGCUCAACCUCGGAACUGCCUUUGAUACUGCUGAUCUCGAGUCCGGAAGAGGUGAGUGGAAUUCCUAGUGUAGAGGUGAAAUUCGUAGAUAUUAGGAAGAACACCAGUGGCGAAGGCGGCUCACUGGUCCGAUACUGACGCUGAGGUGCGAGAGCUUGGGGAGCAAACAGG